UGAACCUUCCUGCGUGCUGCCCAAGGAGUGCCUAGGGCUACCAAGAGGCCCAGGGAGGAACCUUGAGACCUGACUGGGAAAGGCUUUUCUUCCCCGAGAGGACCACUGCUCAGGCUCAGAGGCCAUGGGGUGAAGUGCACACAAAAGUAGGUGUCCAGCCAUGCUCUAAACCCCCCGAAGAUGAAGACCAGGGAGCAGCUUCCUCCAAUGAAGCAGCAGCAAUCAGAGGACCAGGAGGCUGAAGCCCUGAGCCCAGCCAGAGGCAGGAUCAGCCAAGUCUGGAACAGGCUUUAAUUAUUUUAGGGAGGGCGGGGGAGUGGCAGCAGAGAGAAGGGGCAGGUAAUUUAUUCAGGAGCUGGAAGCUGAGAAACGGAUUUGAUGGAGCCUUGCUCUGUUGUCCAGGCUGGAGUGCAAUGGCGCGAUCUCACCUCACUGCAACCUCCACCUCCCGGGUUCAAGUGAUUCUCCUGCCUCAGCCUCCUGAGUAG
rnacentral:lncRNA from 1 species